CCUACGGGAGGCAGCAGUGGGGAAUAUUGGACAAUGGGCGAAAGCCUGAUCCAGCCAUGCCGCGUGUGUGAAGAAGGCCUUCGGGUUGUAAAGCACUUUCAGUGGGGAAGAAAGCCUUGGGGCUAAUACCCUCGAGGAAGGACAUCACCCACAGAAGAAGCACCGGCUAACUCCGUGCCAGCAGCCGCGGUAAUACGGAGGGUGCGAGCGUUAAUCGGAAUUACUGGGCGUAAAGCGCGCGUAGGCGGUCUGAUAAGCCGGUUGUGAAAGCCCCGGGCUCAACCUGGGAACGGCAUCCGGAACUGUCAGGCUAGAGUGCAGGAGAGGAAGGUAGAAUUCCCGGUGUAGCGGUGAAAUGCGUAGAGAUCGGGAGGAAUACCAGUGGCGAAGGCGGCCUUCUGGACUAACACUGACGCUGAGGUGCGAAAGCGUGGGUAGCAAACAGGAUUAGAACCCUUGUAGUC
rnacentral:rRNA from 1 species